rnacentral:rRNA from 1 species
UACGGAGGGGGCUAGCGUUGUUCGGAUUCACUGGGCGUAAAGGGUGCGUAGGUGGUGAGGUAAGUCGGAUGUGAAAUCUCCGAGCUCAACUCGGAAAUGGCAUUGGAAACUACUUUGCUAGAGGGUUGGAGGGGGGACUGGAAUACUUGGUGUAGCAGUGAAAUGCGUAGAUAUCAAGUGGAACACCAGUGGCGAAGGCGAGUCCCUGGACAACUCCUGACACUGAGGCACGAAAGCUAGGGGAGCAAACAGG